CUUUAAGAGUUUCUCUGUCAGUUGCAGAACACAGGGAUUGCAAGCAGGUCGUCAGCUGCUCUGUGAGCGCUGCAAGUCACAGCAGUGGCUGUGUCUGCUCUGUGCAUUCGGGCUCCAGGGAUCACUCCAUGGCAGUGCAACAGAUGCAAGCAGGCCCAUCUACACAGAGAAAAGGAAACUGCAAGCAGAGAUCUGUGUUCAGCACAGUGUGAACAGAAGUGCCUUGAGACCUCUGUGUGCAGCACUCACAGACACCUCUGGAAAAGAUGCUGAAGUUAAGCACCAUGCCACUUUAACUGUGGUUUGGGCUGGAGAAGAGGCCGUUGGCAUCGUGUAACUCUUCAGUGAUGUUUGUACAUUAAAAGAAAAUCGAAGAAACUAGGACGAUUUGGUUAAAAAAGAAGGUUGUUGAGAAGCUGCUGUGAACUGGAAUUUUGCGAGCUCAGAAGAUGUUGUGGAUAUUUUCCUCAUUUUCUGCGGAUGAGAUGGCCUAUAGAGCAGCCCACAUCUUGAUCUAUAUUAGUUGUAAGUGGAAACUUUUGAAGCAAGUUCCAUCAACUGCACUGAUCGUGUUAUUGAGAUGCGAGUCUGCCCUUCUAUGGUCACAGAAAUAAUGUGAAAGACGUGUGCAGACUUUUCCACUGAUGGUUCUGCAAAGUUCCAUGCAUGAACACUGUACCAAUAUUAAUGCUCUAAAACUAUUGUAAUAGUGUUGUGUUCUGACACAUUCUAUUGUGUUUAGGAAAAAAGUAUUCGCCCAUUAAAAACCAUCCCACAAACGGCAUUUGAUAAUAUGUAUGAACAAAUAUAAAUAAUACGUAAUGAAACAUCACAUUUACCUGAUGAACAGCAUACAAAGAUGUAUCCUAAUGUCACAUCUAGAUCUAUUUUUGGUGAACUGGAAACAGUGAGGUUGCUCAAAGGGCACAUUUCAGCACUAAAUCAGAAAGUAUUUUAUUGUUUACUGUCUAACAUUACUGAUACUUGCGUGUGCUAGAAGCAUGAAGUGCUUGUAAUGGAGGCAAUAAUAAUAAUAAUAAACAGCUCUACUCCUGAGAUAUUUUCCUAGUUGUUACUUCAGCAGAGGCCAAGAGAGGAGAGAGAAGGAGCAGGAAGAUAAAAGGGAGGGAAAUGCUGUGGAGAGGAAGUAGCUCUGAUUUGUGGGACUUACAGAACUGCCCUAAAAGGAAAGCUCUGAAAAUUUCAAAUGUGAUGCCAAAUUCUUUUCUGGUGCUGUUCCACCACCAUCAGAAAGAGCAUCUGUGUAAUAUUAUGUACCAGGAAAACAGGGAGCUUAUUUUUUCACAGAGAAAAACAUGAAAAGAUCCUAACAUUGCACUAUUAAGCCUUAUUACUUCAGAGCCAUAAUCUGUUUUUUAUAAUGCUUUAAAAGAAAAAGACUACUAUGCAAAUGUCCUGCACAGCAUGGGUAUGUACAGCCAUGGAUGCCACUGCAUGAAAACUGUCCUUCGCAUGCAUCUCCUGGGCCAGCAAAAUGUGGGCAGCGUAUGUUGGAGCUGUGCUCACCAGGAUGGAGCUGUUGCUUCCCAUGGACCUGCACCUCCUGUGGACCUUGGCAGCAGCUUCAUCCCUUAGUCUUGUUAGUAUGACCUCCCUUCCCAGCUCACUUGCUGAUAGGUCACCCCAGAUCCCAGCAAGGAGACUCCAUCCAUCAAAGACUCCCAAGUGUGAAGAUCAUUGAUUGUGAGCUGAAAAUUGAGAAAGGGAUUCAACUGGUAACCUUUGCCUUGAAUAGAUACGUGGUUUGUCAUCAUGCUGUGGGUUGUGCUGUUGGAAGCAGCUAGACAUCACAGAGAUUGAUAAAUGGCAGAUAUGGUGGAAAUAGUUGGUAUCUUGUGUUAUCAAAAAGAUGCAAGAUGUAAAUUAUACUGAACAGAAAUCCUGACAGAAAAAAAUCUGUAUUCCAACUGUGAUUUUGAAGACAUUCAUAUAGAGUUAAUUACAGAAACAGGUCCCUACUUGGAGUGAAUCAGAAAAUCCCUUUACAAAGGAGACAUAGCUUUUCCAGACUUUCUUAAUUUUAAAGAACAAAGAGUUGGGUUUCUCAGGACUUUCCUGAAAGGUUGCAGACAACAAAGUUGCAGUGAAUUACUGUGAAGUCAAAACUGUUGAAUUGCCCACAUGCCUGCCUCAGGCCCUGUAGUUUGCUUCACUUGUUCAUGCUGUUGAAUAAAGACUGCUGCUUGCAAAAUGUACUGUUAUUAACCCUGUUUCUCCCUGUUGUGAACCUUCCU
ensembl:lncRNA